UUCGGGCAAACUUGCAGUUGUUAGUUCUGAACUUCCUCCCUACAUUGUGAGUAGAUUUAUUUUCGGUACUAAUGUAAAACUGUAAGAUUCAGUUCGGGCAAACUGUAGUCGUCAGCUCUGAACUUCUUCCCUGCAUUGAGAGACUACCAGAGCACAUGGAUGAACAAAAAAAGAGUUGCCUAACACCGAACCCAAGGGUGGACGCGCCUGCAAUACUGAAGUGUCUUGCAGCAGCAGUGAAAGAACGUGGAUUUGAUGGAAGAAAUUACGCUUUAGCGGGAUGCUAAACGAGAAGAGGUUGAGGACAGCCAGCCAGCCACAGCAGCUUCCGCCAGAAUCAGGAGCUGCGGAAAAGAUCACGAAAUGGACAGGAGAACGAGAAUCCUUCGGGACAGAGAUGAGUUGCGGGAUCGAAAAAAAAGAGUCGUGCACUUCCAUGUGAGCACAACGCUCUACUGAUGCCAAUCCGUGCCAUUCAUGAUUCGGUGGAAUUCAUUGUAUACACAGUAACAGGCCAUGUGAACAUUGUCAACGGAUAUAACCAAGUUGGAUCUGAUGACCAACAGAGAUUUAGGUGUAAGGAAGUCACUGCAGUGUAUAUACUGAAAAGUACGAGCAGAUUAAUGAAGGUCAGGUAGUCUUGCUAUGGUCAAGCUAUGAUUGUUGUUUAUCAGUGUGGCAUUUCUCUAGAAACUAACUUAAUUGUCACUCAACCAUGCGAUGGCCUAUGGUCACAAAGGCAUCCGAUAGUUCUAUGGGCAGCUGACGACACAAAUGCUUCGGCUGUUGGGCUCU